CCAGACUCCUACGGGAGGCAGCAGUGAGGAAUAUUGGUCAAUGGUCGGGAGACUGAACCAGCCAAGCCGCGUGAGGGAUGAAGGUACAGAGUAUCGUAAACCUCUUUUGUCAGGGAACAAAGGCGGGGACGUGUCCCCGGAUGAGUGUACCUGAAGAAAAAGCAUCGGCUAACUCCGUGCCAGCAGCCGCGGUAAUACGGAGGAUGCGAGCGUUAUCCGGAUUUAUUGGGUUUAAAGGGUGCGUAGGCGGGCUUUUAAGUCAGCGGUAAAAAUUCGGGGCUCAACCCCGUCCGGCCGUUGAAACUGGGGGCCUUGAGUGGGCGAGAAGAAGGCGGAAUGCGUGGUGUAGCGGUGAAAUGCAUAGAUAUCACGCAGAACCCCGAUUGCGAAGGCAGCCUUCCGGCGCCCUACUGACGCUGAGGCACGAAAGUGCGGGGAUCGAACAGGAUUAGAUACCCUUGUA
rnacentral:rRNA from 1 species